rnacentral:lncRNA from 1 species
AUCUUUGUUUAAGCCUUGCAUAUCAUUUAUUUUUUAAUAUACUUACUGAGUACUAACCAUAAGUGUACUCAUACUUGCUAAAACUGCUGCUCAGAAGAGAAAGUUGCUGUGAAGUUUUCUGAAUAUGUUGCUGAGUUCUAGACAUACGCAACCCCGGUCGAUUGCCUGUGAAAGUUGCUGUGAAGUUUUCUGAAUAUGUUGCUGUGUAUCUUUGGUAGUCUUUUAGUCAUUUUAAGUUUCUUUUUCGAGAUAUUUUUGCUCAUUAUUCCAUUAUGACGUCACUAUAUGUAUAGAACUUGAUCC